rnacentral:lncRNA from 1 species
UUUUCAAAGUCUGCCAGUAAUGCUCAACCUUGUCGGCUUCCUAUUUUUGCUUUCAAAUUAGGGUAAGGAUGAGUCAUCGCCAACCACCAUGAAUGAUGCCAGACAAGGUGGGGAAAUCUCUCCUGGAACUGUGGCUAACACAAGAUGACCAGAAGAGUGCCAGUCUUUGAUUAAUGACAAUGAAGGAAGACUUUGGGCAGAAAAAGGAACCUGGCCAAAUUGGAGAAGCAAGCAUAGGACACACAGCAGACUG